UAAACCCUGAUCAAAUAUCAGUUUCUCUUUCAUGAAUUCCCUUCUUCAGUUGCCCUCCUAUGCCAAAACAAGUUUCAAUAAAUACAAAGCAUCCAAAAAAAACCAGCAAAGAAAAUGCAUGGCAUCCAAACAAGGAUUAUAUUCCGUGAAAGGGAAGCAUUGGACAAUCUAAAUACAAAGCAUCCAAACAAGGAUUAGAAGUGUUCAUCCGAUCUCUUUAUCAUUCUUCCCAAAAUGAAAUCUCUCAGAUGGUCUUAAUCUUUUCCCCAUUAUGAUAGAUGAAUCUAGAGAACGGUUUAUAUGCAAAGAUGAAUCCAAAGUCAGUUACCAAGUAGAUAUCCGGUUAUAUAAAUUCAAGCAAGGGCCUCAUAAACAAAGUGUAGCAGAUGAAGUUUGGCAACUUUGAAGAUGGUGAUGAAAAAAAGACCAAUUAAUUUAUUUUGUGUUAGUUUGAGAUCUAUUCUAAGAAUUUUUUUUACUGAUUUUAUUUUUUACUUUUAGAUCUAGUGUAUUUUUUUUUAUAACGGGCGAAUGUAAUAAUUAGUAAGGAAUUUUAAUUACCAAGAUCUACCCAUGCUCUUUUGCAAAGUUCGAAUAUCAGGUUGUUUGUUUGAUUUGAGAUCUGUUAAUCUAUGCUUCAGUUCAUUUA